rnacentral:rRNA from 1 species
GAAAGUAAGAAAGGGCGCAUGGCGGAUGCCUUGGCUCAUGGAGGCGAUGAAGGACGUGAUAAGCUGCGAUAAGCUUCGGGUAGAUGCAAAUAAUCUUUGAUCCGAAGAUUUCCGAAUGGGACAACCUAGCGUGUUGAAGACACGUUACUCUUGCUAAUCAAGAGAGCUAACGCAGGGAACUGAAACAUCUUAGUACCUGUAGGAAGAGAAAAUAAUUUAAUGAUUUCCCUAGUAGUGGCGAGCGAACGGGAAGUAGCCCAAACCUAUGACGUAGCAAUGCGCCAUAGGGGUUGUAGGACCACGACAUUGUAUUAAGUCAAUCGAGAAGAAUAUUCUGGAAAGAAUAACCAUAGAGGGUGAUAGUCCUGUACUCGAAGUGCGACUUAGCAUAGUGGUAUCCUGAGUACCGCGGAACACGUGUAAUUCUGCGCGAAUCAGCCGGGCCCAUCCGGUAAGGCUAAAUACUCCCAUGAGACCGAUAGUGAACGAGUACUGUGAAGGAAAGGGCGUUGAAAAGCUUCUGGAUGAGGUGAGUGUAGGAGUGAAAGGCCAAUCAAACUUGGAGAUAGCUCGUACUCCCCGAAAGGCAUUUAGGUGCCGCGUGCUACGAUUAGCAUAAGAGGUAGAGCGACCGAUAGGUCAAGAGGGCUUCACCGCCUAUUGCGACCUGACGAACUCCGAAUGCUUAUGUUUUGCAGUAGUGCAGUAAGGGGGCGGGUGCUAAGGUCCGUCCCCGAGAGGAGAAGAAUCCAGACCGUCAUCUAAGGUCCCGAAAUUCUGUCUAAGUUAGUCUAACGAAGUGUGGUCCCCGUGACAGCUAGGAUGUUGGCUUGGAAGCAGCCAUUCAUUCAAAGAGUGCGUAACAGCUCACUAGUCGAGGGUCCGUGCAUGGAUAAUAAUCGGGUAUUAAGUCAGAUACCGAAGGUGCGGGAUAGUAUUGUAUAUAAAAAGUAUCGGUAGGGGAGCAUUCCAUCGGCGCAGAAUAUAGACCGUAAGGUUUGUUGGAGCUUAUGGAAAAGCAAAUGUAGGUAUAAGUAACGAUAAAAAGGGUUAGAUUCCCUUUCGCCGAAAGACCGAGGUUUCCCGGGCGAUGCCAAUCAGCCCGGGGUUAGUCGAGUCCUAAGUCUCAUCCGAACGGAGCAGGCGAUGGCAGAUGAGGUUAAUAUUCCUCAACUUGCUUAUAUAGUGAAGUGGAGACGGAGCAGUGACACUGUCGCGUCCUGACGGACAUGGACGUUUAAUAUUUUAGGCAUUGAUAGGUGCAGGCAAAUCCACACCUUGAGCUGAGAAUAGAAAGUACAACCUUCUCUUCGGAGAAAGUUGAUAGUACAGGUAAUCAUACUCCCGAGAAAAUCCGCUAGCGUUAAUAUUUAAGCAACUCGUACCGCAAACGGACACACGUGGUCGGGUAGAAUAUACUAAGGCGUUGAGAGAUUCAUGGUUAAGGAACUAGGCAAAUUGACCCUGUAACUUCGGGAUAAAGGGUCCUCGUAUUUAGCUAUACGAGGCGCAGAGAAUAGGUCCAGGCAACUGUUUAACAAAAACACAGGGCUGUGCUAACUCGAAAGAUGAUGUAUACAGCCUGACACCUGCCCGGUGCUGGAAGGUUAAGAGGAGAGCUUAGAUGUAAAUCGACGGUUUGAAUUGAAGCCCCAGUAAACGGCGGCCGUAACUAUAACGGUCCUAAGGUAGCGAAAUUCCUUGUCGGGUAAGUUCCGACCUGCACGAAUGGUGUAA